rnacentral:rRNA from 1 species
GUGAACGCUGGCGGCGUGUUUAAGGCAUGCAAGUCGAACGAACGCAGUUUGUGAUUACAUCAAUGACUGCGCUAGUGGCAAACGGGUGAGUAACACAUUGGUAACCUACCCCAAAGACGGGAAUAACGCGAAGAAAUUUGCGCUAAUACCCGAUUAAUUCAGGCGAUUAAUUCGCUUGAAUAAAGCUCCGGCGCUUUGGGAUGGGCCUAUGCUUCAUCAGCUAGUUGGUAAGGUAAUGGCUUACCAAGGCUACGACGAAUAGCGGGCGCGAGAGCGUGACCCGCCUCACUGGGACUGAGACACUGCCCAGACUCCUACGGGAGGCUGCAGUCGAGAAUCUUCCCCAAUGCGCGAAAGCGUGAGGGAGCGACGCCGCGUGAUUGACGAAACACUUAGGUGUGUAAAAAUCUUUUCUCUAAGACGAACUAAUGACGGUACUAGAGGAAUAAGGGCCUGCUAAACUCGU